UACGAAGGGGGCUAGCGUUGCUCGGAAUCACUGGGCGUAAAGCGCACGUAGGCGGCUUCUUAAGUCAGGGGUGAAAUCCUGGAGCUCAACUCCAGAACUGCCCUUGAUACUGAGGAGCUCGAGUCCGGGAGAGGUGAGUGGAACUGCGAGUGUAGAGGUGAAAUUCGUAGAUAUUCGCAAGAACACCAGUGGCGAAGGCGGCUCACUGGCCCGGUACUGACGCUGAGGUGCGAAAGCGUGGGGAGCAAACAGG
rnacentral:rRNA from 1 species